rnacentral:rRNA from 1 species
AACACAUGCAAGUCGAACGGGCGUAGCAAUACGUCGAUGGCAGACGGGUGAGCAGCACGUGGGAACGUACCUCUUGGUUCGGAACAACACAGGGAAACUUGUGCUAAUACCGGAUAAGCCCUUACGGGGAUAGAUUUAUCGCCGAGAGAUCGGCCCGCGUCUGAUUAGCUAGUUGGUAGGGUAAUGGCCUACCAAGGCGACGAUCAGUAGCUGGUCUGAGAGGAUGAUCUGCCACAUUGGGACUGAGACACGGCCCAAACUCCUACGGGAGGCAGCAGUGGGGAAUAUUGGACAAUGGGGGCAACCCUGAUCCAGCCAUGCCGCGUGAGUGAUGAAGGCCCUAGGGUUGUAAAGCUCUUUUGUGCGGGAAGAUAAUGACGGUACCGCAAGAAUAAGCCCCGGCUAACUUCGUGCCAGCCGCCGCGGUAAUAC